UCCCUGGUGGUCCAGUGGUUAGGACACCGCACUUUCACUGCCGGAGCCCAGGUUUGAUCCCUGGUUGGGGAA